ACGGGUGAGUAAGACAUCGGAACGUAUCCUGUAGAGGGGGAUAGCCCGGCGAAAGCCGGAUUAAUACCGCAUACGCUCUGUGGAGGAAAGCGGGGGACCGACAGGCCUCGCGCUACAGGGGCGGCCGAUGGCGGAUUAGCUAGUUGGUGGGGUAAAGGCCUACCAAGGCAACGAUCCGUAGCGGGUCUGAGAGGACGGCCCGCCACAUUGGGACUGAGACACGGCCCAGACUCCUACGGGAGGCAGCAGUGGGGAAUUUUGGACAAUGGGGGAAACCCUGAUCCAGCUAUGCCGCGUGUGCGAAGAAGGCCUUCGGGUUGUAAAGCACUUUUGUCCGGGAAGAAAGGCGCGGUGCGAAUAACGCCGCGAGAUGACGGUACCGGAAGAAUCAGCACCGGCUAACUACGUGCCAGCAGCCGCGGUAAUACGUAGGGUGCAAGCGUUAAUCGGAAUGACUGGGCGUAAAGGGUGCGCAGGCGGUUUGCUAAGAUAGAGGUGAAAUCCCUGGGCUCAACCUGGGAAUGGCCUAUAUGACUGGCAGGCUCGAGUAUGGCAGAGGGAGGUGGAAUUCCACGUGUAGCAGU
rnacentral:rRNA from 1 species